rnacentral:rRNA from 1 species
AUUCCAGCUCCAAUAGCGUAUAUUAAAGUUGUUGCAGUUAAAACGCUCGUAGUCGGAUUUCGGGGCGGCUUCGUCGGUCUGCCGAUGGGUAUGCACUGACGCGGGCGUCCUUCCUUCCGGAGACGCGUCCUACUCUUAGCUGAGCGGGGCGUGGAGACGGAUCGUUUACUUUGAAAAAAUCAGAGUGUUUCAAGCAGGCAUCAUCGCUCUUGCAUGGAUUAGCAUGGGAUAAUGAAAUAGGACCUUGGUGCUAUUUUGUUGGUUUCGAGCACCGAAGUAAUGAUUAACAGGGACAGUUGGGGGCAUUAGUAUUUAAUUGUCAGAGGUGAAAUUCUUGGAUUUGUGAAAGACUAACUACUGCGAAAGCAUUUGCCAAGGAUGUUUUCAUCA